rnacentral:rRNA from 1 species
UACGGAGGAUUCAAGCGUUAUCCGGAUUUAUUGGGUUUAAAGGGAGCGUAGGCGGGGAGGCAAGUUGAAUGUCUAAACUAUCGGCUCAACUGAUAGUCGCGUUCAAAACUGCCACUCUUGAGUGCAGUAGAGGUAGGCGGAAUUCCUAGUGUAGCGGUGAAAUGCGUAGAUAUUGGGAGGAACACCAGUGGCGAAGGCGCCUUUCUGGACUGUGUCUGACGCUGAGAUGCGAAAGCCAGGGUAGCGAACGGG